rnacentral:rRNA from 1 species
AGAGUUUGAUCCUGGCUCAGGAUGAACGCUGGCGGUCUGCUUAACACAUGCAAGUCGAACGGAGUAGAAAUACUUAGUGGCGGACGGGUGAGUAACGCGUGAGAAUCUGCCUUCAGGACGGAGACAACAGUUGGAAACGACUGCUAAGCCCCGAUGAACCGAAAGGGAAAAUAUUUAUAGCCUGAAGAUGAGCUCGCGUCCGAUUAGCUAGUUGGCGGAGUAAAAGCCCACCAAGGCGACGAUCGGUAGCUGGUCUGAGAGGACGAUCAGCCACACUGGGACUGAGACACGGCCCAGACUCCUACGGGAGGCAGCAGUGGGGAAUUUUCCGCAAUGGGCGAAAGCCUGACGGAGCAAGACCGCGUGGGGGAAGAAGGCUCUUGGGUUGUAAACCCCUUUUCUCUGGGAAGAAAGUUGUGAAAGCAACCUGACGGUACCAGAGGAAUCAGCCUCGGCUAACUCCGUGCCAGCAGCCGCGGUAAUACGGAGGAGGCAAGCGUUAUCCGGAAUUAUUGGGCGUAAAGCGUCCGCAGGUGGCUUAUCAAGUCUGCUGUCAAAGAGUGGGGCUUAACCCCAUUAAGGCAGUGGAAACUGAGAAGCUAGAGUGCCGUAGGGGUAGAGGGAAUUCCCGGUGUAGCGGUGAAAUGCGUAGAGAUCGGGAAGAACAUCGGUGGCGAAAGCGCUCUACUGGACGGCAACUGACACUCAGGGACGAAAGCUAGGGGAGCGAAUGGGAUUAGAUACCCCAGUAGUCC